GUCUUCUUAUGGAACUUCUUUCUGUCUACUGGUAGCAAAUUGUGGAUUUGCACAAGAAGAGAAAAGCCACAGAACUAGUGCUAUUUUACCUUCUGUCUUUAGAGAGGUAUAUUUGGCUGUUUUGUGAGAAAUUC
ensembl:snoRNA SNORA75 Small nucleolar RNA SNORA75